rnacentral:rRNA from 1 species
AACGAACGCUGGCGGCAGGCUUAACACAUGCAAGUCGAACGCAUCCUUUUAGGGUGAGUGGCAGACGGGUGAGUAACGCGUGGGAACGUGCCCUUCAGUUCGGGAUAACCCAGGGAAACUUGGGCUAAUACCGGAUACGUGCGAGAGCAGAAAGAUUUAUCGCUGAAGGAUCGGCCCGCGUCUGAUUAGCCAGUUGGUGGGGUAAUGGCCCACCAAGGCGACGAUCAGUAGCUGGUCUGAGAGGAUGAUCAGCCACAUUGGGACUGAGACACGGCCCAAACUCCUACGGGAGGCAGCAGUGGGGAAUAUUGGACAAUGGGCGCAAGCCUGAUCCAGCCAUGCCGCGUGAGUGAUGAAGGCCUUAGGGUUGUAAAGCUCUUUCGUCCGGGACGAUAAUGACGGUACCGGAAGAAGAAGCCCCGGCUAACUUCGUGCCAGCCGCCGCAGUAAGAC